CAGCCGCCGCGGGAAUACGAAGGGGGCUAGCGUUGUUCGGAUUUACUGGGCGUAAAGCGCACGUAGGCGGAUCGAUCAGUCAGGGGUGAAAUCCUGGAGCUCAACUCCAGAACUGCCUUUGAUACUGUCGAUCUCGAGUCCGGAAGAGGUGAGUGGAACUCCUAGUGUAGAGGUGGAAUUCGUAGAUAUUAGGAAGAACACCAGUGGCGAAGGCGGCUCACUGGUCCGGUACUGACGCUGAGGUGCGAAAGCGUGGGGAGCAAACAGGAUUAGAGACCCCCGUAGUCCCUGUCUCUUAUAC
rnacentral:rRNA from 1 species